GUAAAAGCUGGCAGAAAGUAUUUGAGAUGACCAAAACCUCAUUUAAGAAAAGCCCUAUUUAUUUGUACUGGGACAAUUUGCCUAUUGAAAAGGUGGAAUUUCGGUUGAAAAAACCAUCAGAUGAUGACGUAUUCAUUUUCCGUGGAACAGGGACGAAUUCUACAUCAUGGUUCCAGAAAGAUAAAAUAAUUAAAACUCCGUUUAA